rnacentral:SRP_RNA from 1 species
AUGAAAUGGCUGGACUGACAGCACCCCAAUGCAGUAGUUUGUGGC